CUCCGCUGCUCCUGGCUUCUUCCUGUUCCUCCUGCUCCGGCUUCCCUCUUCCCUCCGCCUCCAGGGCCCCUCAGGGGCCAGCGGGCCGAGCAGGAGGGGGGGAGUGGCCCUGAGUCAGCAGCCCCUCUGCCCAGGCCAGGGGAGGGGUCAUGUUCACCCACCCACCGGGCAAGGCGCCCACCCCAUCAUGCUCCACCCCAAACGGAGAAAGAGGCUUAGCUGACACUAAAGAUGAAGAAGCUGGAUUCACAUACACAGCAGUGGCUGACCAAGAUGCCAUCACUAGGAAGUAUGAAAACAAAGUUUGAAGCCAGGCGCCUGGCUAUAUCACCACUUCCCAUCCAGCAGCAGGAUAUGGCUCCAGGUCCCAAGUCCCAGGUGGAUUACAUCUCUGCUCGAAUGGGAAGGGAACUCCAGAUCCUCAAGUCCGGGUUGCCUCCCAAGAUGCUGCCCACCAAGGGGAGAAGGCCCCCUGGCCCGGGCCUGACUGCUACAACCAGAAAUAUCCACCAGAUGGCACUCUUUUGCCACUUCCCGUACUCCCAAGUGUUGCCAGAGGUGUCGCCAGAGCUGUCGUCCCUUUCGGCCGAGGUGGAAAACGCGGAGCCGGUGUACCCCAGGCUUUCCCCCUCACUCCCAUACGCAGCAGGACGGUGGGCGUGCCCUUGGUCCCCAAAGACUGCAAUCUCGAGCUUCUCCGAAGUCGGGCUCAUCCCUUCGGGCCUCCAGGCUUCUGUUGGAGGAGCGGACUCCCCUUGGGCGGGGGGGGGCAGUUCUGCUCAGUCCUCAAAUCCACCCUCAUUCACCAGUGAGCCAAAAGUUGGGCUUCACCCGGACUCCAUCGGUUCAGAACAGCGCAGCUCAAGGACCUUUACUAGGAGCCUUCCUAGUAAUAAGCAGAUUCCUCACUACCGCGGACGAGGGAGUCAGGGUCAUUUGUACACACGUGGCGCCUACACACCUGUACACACAGCCCCCCAACCUCGAUGUACUCCCGACAUCCCGCCCUGGACGCCCAGCCAGGGGUCAGCCAAAAGCGGAGAGAAGGGCCAGACCCUGGGACCUAGAACCCUCGGCUAG
rnacentral:lncRNA from 1 species